rnacentral:rRNA from 1 species
CCUACGGGAGGCAGCAGUGGGGAAUAUUGCACAAUGGGCGGAAGCCUGAUGCAGCGACGCCGCGUGAGUGAAGAAGUAUUUCGGGAUGUAAAGCUCGAUCAGCAGGGGAAAAAAUGACGGUACCUGACUAAGAAGCACCGGCUAACUACGUGCCAGCAGCCGCGGUAAUACGGAGGGUGCAAGCGUUAUCCGGAUUCACUGGGUGGAAAGGGUGCGUAGGCGGUUUGGCAAGUCUGAAGUGAAAGCCAGAGGCUCAACCAGUGGACUGCUGUUGAAACUGUAAAACUAGAGUGCGGGAGAGGUAAGCGGAAUUCCUGGUGUAGCGGUGAAAUGCGUAGAUAUCAGGAGGAACACCGGUGGCGAAGGCGGCUUACUGGGCUGUAACUGACGUUGAGGCACGAAAGCGUGGGGAGCAAACAGGAUUAGAUACCCGGGUAGUC